AUUGAACGCUGGCGGCAUGCUUUACACAUGCAAGUCGAACGGCAGCGCGGGGCAACCUGGCGGCGAGUGGCGAACGGGUGAGUAAUACAUCGGAACGUACCCAGAAGUGGGGGAUAACGUAGCGAAAGUUACGCUAAUACCGCAUACGACCUAAGGGUGAAAGUGGGGGACCUUCGGGCCUCAUGCUUUUGGAGCGGCCGAUGUCUGAUUAGCUAGUUGGUGAGGUAAAGGCUCACCAAGGCGACGAUCAGUAGCUGGUCUGAGAGGACGACCAGCCACACUGGGACUGAGACACGGCCCAGACUCCUACGGGAGGCAGCAGUGGGGAAUUUUGGACAAUGGGGGCGAACCCUGAUCCAGCAAUGCCGCGUGAGUGAAGAAGGCCUCGG
rnacentral:rRNA from 1 species